rnacentral:rRNA from 1 species
UAUCGUGACCAACCUGCCCCAUGCUCCAGAAUAGCUCUUGGAAACGGGUGGUAAUGCUGGAUGCUCCAACUUGACGCAUGUCUUGUUGGGAAAGUGUUUAGUGGCAUGGGAUGGGGUCGCGUCCUAUCAGCUUGUAGGCGGGGUAAUGGCCCACCUAGGCUUCGACGGGUAGCCGGCCUGAGAGGGCGGACGGCCACAUUGGGACUGAGAUACGGCCCAGACUCCUACGGGAGGCAGCAG